AGGGGUAUAGUUCUUCGGAAUUAGAGACCGGCGCACGGGUGCGUAACGCGUAUGCAAUCUACCUUUUACAGAGGGAUAGCCCAGAGAAAUUUGGAUUAAUACCUCAUAGUAUAGAUCAACCGCAUGGUUGGCCUAUUAAAGUCACAACGGUAAAAGAUGAGCAUGCGUCCCAUUAGCUAGUUGGUAAGGUAACGGCUUACCAAGGCGACGAUGGGUAGGGGUCCUGAGAGGGAGAUCCCCCACACUGGUACUGAGACACGGACCAGACUCCUACGGGAGGCAGCAGUGAGGAAUAUUGGACAAUGGGCGCAAGCCUGAUCCAGCCAUGCCGCGUGCAGGAUGACGGUCCUAUGGAUUGUAAACUGCUUUUGCACAGGAAGAAACAACUCUACGUGUAGAGUCUUGACGGUACUGUGAGAAUAAGGAUCGGCUAACUCCGUGCCAGCAGCCGCGGUAAUACGGAGGAUCCAAGCGUUAUCCGGAAUCAUUGGGUUUAAAGGGUCCGUAGGCGGUUUAGUAAGUCAGUGGUGAAAGCCCAUCGCUCAACGGUGGAACGGCCAUUGAUACUGCUAGACUUGAAUUAUUAGGAAGUAACUAGAAUAUGUAGUGUAGCGGUGAAAUGCUUAGAGAUUACAUGGAAUACCAAUUGCGAAAGCAGGUUACUACUAAUGGAUU
rnacentral:rRNA from 1 species